rnacentral:rRNA from 1 species
UACGGAGGGGGCAAGCGUUGUUCGGAAUUACUGGGCGUAAAGGGCGCGUAGGCGGCCGCCUAAGUCAGACGUGAAAUCCCUCGGCUCAACCGGGGAACUGCGUCUGAUACUGGGUGGAUUGAAUUCGGGAGAGGGAUGCGGAAUUCCAGGUGUAGCGGUGAAAUGCGUAGAUAUCUGGAGGAACACCGGUGGCGAAGGCGGCAUCCUGGACCAACACUGACACUGAGGAGCGAAAGCCAGGGGAGCAAACGGG